ACAAACCCCAAUCCCCAAAAUGUAAACACCUACCAAAUCUCUUUUUUCUUCCAAAUCAUGAAAUAGUAAGACACCACGAGAGGGAGUAUGAAAGCUUGAGAACAAGAAAGAAGAAAGCGAUGCCAGGUCGAGAGAGAGUUAAGCGCACGCGAUAGAGCAGGGAGGAUGAAGGAUUUUAUUCUGAUAGUGGUUUCGGCGAGAUGGUGAUUGAAGGAGAAGGAGGCCACAUGUGCAAUUGUAUUUAUUAGCGUCUUCAAAGACUCUUCCUGAAAAUGGUCAAGUGAGCAAGUUCAAGAAGAUGAACGACAUCAACGAGGGUGGAAUUAGAGGUAGAGCUUGAAUCUGGAGAGUAGUCAACAAGGUAAGACAGAGCUAGAUGUUGUGUAAUACUAAUAUAACUGGAAAUCCCACUUUGAUCAGGAUAGAGUUAGGGAAAAAAGUAGUUGAAACAAAGAAUGAAAAGUGGUAUUUGGUUUUCUACUAGUAUGAGAUUGCUCUUCAUCCUGUCCUUAUAUGUUGUCGUCACUUCUUGGCCAAGAAAGUAUGGGAGAAACAAAUCUAAGGACAACAAAGAAAGUAAUUUUGAAUUCCAUUCAUUUAAUUGAGAAAUGAAAAGCUCUAAUAGAAAACAUUUGUCACGUAUCAUAAUUGUGGCCAGAUCGAACCCGUCGAGUUUGAUUUCUUCAACAUAGCUUGCAUGAACCGUUGUGUUGUGCUCCAACAUGACACACAUAAAAGUUUCUAGAAUUUCUGUUGCAUUUUGAUUUGUUCGAAUAAGAAGGAAGAUCAUGCAACGCCACUUAAGCCCUUCCAUUUGAAGUAAUUCCCUUCUUCCCUUGUAUCGAGACUCGAUGGACACCUUCCUUGGCUUGAAUAAUUCUUCGUUUGAUCUCCAAAGCUCCUUCAAAACAAGGAGAAUGUUGUACUGUUGACAAUAUUGUUGCCUUACAGAACCCAUUAGUGCUUUUGUUGUUUCCCUCUAUCUCUUCAACUCAGCGUCUUCGUCCAUGGCCUGCAAUCUACAUACAAAACCAAAACCAAAAAUAAUGAACGAAUGGCUAGUUGACUAAAGCUGGAAAAGAAGAAAUAAUAAACAUCCACCACAUGGUUAUGGAAAGAAAUUAAUUAAAUCAAAGAAUUACUGCAUUCGCCUUGUUAAAACCACAUGAGGUCACUUUUUUUUUUACCCGUAUGAAUUGAAAACAUAUAACAAGAGAUUCAUAAUAAGUUAAUGACUUACGCACCUGUUCAACCAACUAAGCUAAACCUUUGUAGAGUGUUGUUAUAUUUUGUGUCUGGAAGAACAUAAAUGAUUGUUGUACCGUAUGGCUCGUGAAACUCAGCGCGUACUCGACUCGUGGGGCCCCACAUGCUCGGGUUGUGGCAAUCCCCAACUGUCACCUACGGACUUGGCCACAAUGAGUAGAAGAGUAGUUUACCAAUGUGGCUCUAAGCAUUGCGCAACUCCUUUAACAUUGGAUAUGUAUAUAUAGAUCCAGAGGAGAGAUCCCCAUGUAUGUUUUACUCAUCCCACACAUAGGCACAAAAACACUUCAGAGCACCACUAACUUACUCGUUAGAGUCUCUUUUGCAGGUACCUCCCCUCACUUCAACCCUGGAGAUCGGAGAUCACACUAGGAAGAGGAGGACUAGGCAGCUCGGUCAGAACUCAAUAGGAACAUUUGGCACCCACCGUGGGGCUGAGGAAAAAUUUUCUUCGAUUGCAAAAUGGUACCAACAAGGAGAGGCAAUCGCAGUUCAUCUGCGUGCUCCACACAAGCCAAGACAUCAACAAUAUGGGAAAUUCGAGAACAAAUGGAAUAAUUACGAAAAAAAAUGGAGGCCGAUUUGGAGGUCUCGAGGCAACAACACGAGGCGAACAUGUGAUGAUUAAUAGAAGAAAACGCGAAUCUCAGAGUCCAACUUACAAUCCAGCACCCACCUCCGUUGCCCCUACCACCACCAUCUCCACCUCGCUCCCCAUCCCCACCCACCCAUGUCGAGACAUAUACUCAGGAAAGUCACACUUAACUCUCCUCUUAUAACCACCACGAGCAACCUUUAAUCUACUCCCGACUCAGAUCACUCAACAUCGACCAUGAUGUAGUUCACUGACACCCUUUCGUAGAUGGCAUCAUGGAUACACCCCUACCAAUAACCUGGAAACCCCUGAACAUUGAAAGAUACAUUGGUACCUCUGAUCCUAACAAACACUUGGAUGCAUUCACCACACAAGUCAAUUUGUACUACAUAAUGACGACGUCGUGAUGUGCAAGGUUUUUCCCAUCUCCCUCAAAGGGCCGACACUGACGUGGUACAAGUGUGACCCCCACGAUCCAUUGACUCCUUCUUCACCUUAGCCCAACGCUUCGGAGUGCAAUAUAAACCAACCGCCCUCACCACACCACAUCCAUCGCUCUAGUCAACCUCUGCCCAGCUAAUGACGAGUCAUUGCAGUUUUUUUUUUUUGGAGAGGUACGCCACCAUCUCCAUUAGAAUUAGAGACCUCGACCAUGGUGUCGUGCUACAUUCUAUGAUCACAACGCUCAAGCCAUGGAUUUUUGCCAACAACCUCUGUCGGAAGCAACCCAAAGAUCUGGAUGAACUUCAAGCACGAGCAACGAGAUACAUCCAAAUGGAGGAGCUAUCCACCUUUCGUAACCAAGUAUGUUCGGCGAAGCAGAAAAAAGAUGACCACACAAGUGUGAACCAUGUCAAUAAACCUUGAUAUUAUUUUUUUUAUAUCAAUAAUGGUAUUGAAAAAAAAAUCAUUUUAUAAAAAAUUCUUAUCAUGUCUAACAAGAUUUAAACGACAAAGAGUAAUUGCCAAUCUUGGAAUUUAGGCUCCACUAUUCACACAAUGGUGUGGUUCCUCUGUAUAUCUAAAUAAAAACAUGAUGAGCUAUAUAGCGUUCUUACAUUAUGUAGAAAAAGCUAGUCUAUGAGUUCAAUUUUUAAACCACCUUUCUUUAUUAGGAGAUACGUAAGCUGUCUAUUAUGGACCUUUGUUGUUGACUUAAAAACAAUAUUUACACAGUCAACUCUAUUAUUGAGGGUAUUACAAGGGAUAUAGACGAUACACUUUUGGAUUUGUUGGCCCUUAGAAGUUCAGCCUAGGUUUGUUGUAGCUAACUAUGUCCUAAUUGGAGUAGUACGUCACUUUAACACACGAAAUAUGGUUAACAAAAAUGAUGUAUGGACACCAAAAUUGUAAAUUUAUAGGUAAUAUGAUAUGAAAAGACGGAAAUAGAGAGAAAUUUGAGUAAUAAAUAGUGUUUGUACUGUCACAUGUGUUCAAAUAUCAUUAUUGUAACGUUAAAAUUAAGGACCGAUGCUAUGAAACUAAAAAAAAGAAGAAUCAUGUAACAAAAAAAUUGGGAGAUCUACAUAGGAAUAUAGAAAGAAGAAUAGAUUUCCUAAACUCUUUCCUGUUAUUCCAAAACUUUAACAAAAGAACCCAAGUUUUGUUAUGGAAAACAAACGCAUAUGAGCUUACCACAAGCUGCAUCAUAAUGGCCAUUAUGAACUCCAUAAAAAGUCAGCACCCUCUUUAAUCAUGGUCAAACUAACAACUAACCAUCUCAAGCCUACACACUUCUUUGUACACAAUGUUAGGUACUUCUACUGCUAUAGUCUGUUGCAUUUAAAGCCUAUACCAACUCAUCCCUAGACUAGGUAUUUUCUAAACCUUGAACAGCAUGACGUAGGAAAGCAAUGAGACUAAUAAAGCAAUAAGACUACUAAAGAUGGCACACGUAGGAUUCAAAUUUUGGUGAAUGAAAAACAAGUUUGUGUAAUUAAUUUGUGAUUGCAAAAUGUCUAAGAAACUUAAUAGAUAAUUCUAGUAGAAAGUUAAAAUGAGUGGUAAUGUCCAUUCUACUCUAUUCUAUUUUAAUCUAUUCCAUUCCAUAUCUUCCCAUCAAUUCAAACAUAGCCUAAAAGGGAAGAGGGAAUAAAAAGGCUACAAAUAAGAGAAUGUUGGAGUGAGAGGAUAUACAAGCAUUUAGGAAGUAAUAGUAGCUCCUACUGAGCAAAAAGAGACUAAAACCCUCUAUAUAUGCUCACCUAUGUAAAAAAGAAGAGUAUAGAAUAUAUAAAAAUAUCUCAUCCUAUCUUUGAUAGGCUUUUAAGAUUAGUUUAUCUAUUUUUUUUUCAUCAUCUCCUUAGAUUUAAAAAACAGGUUAGACUCAUAAUAAGCUUAACCUACUUCAGCUUAUUUCCAUAUUUCCAUCCCUAAUUCAUACCAGAUAACCCAAUUAAAAGUAGUAGAGAAAAACAUAUAACAAAAUUUCAAAAGAAACUACUAUAAUGUAUGUUAGAACAAUUUUACUGAACAUUUUAAUGCUUAUUAAACUCCAGGUUGUCUAUUAAUCACUAUAACUUGACCACAUUCAAUCAAAUGACUUGUUAGACAGGUUGAAAGUAGAACAGAGGAGCGCACAACACAAGAAAUAAGAUCAUCAUCACACCUUUAGGCUAACAGCAGAAACAUAAUUAGCAAAGUGAAAAUAUGUAUAUGCACACACAUAUGUACAUGCUAAUGAAAUAAGGCCUUUCUUCCCAGGAUCUUAUAUUUCCCUUUGGAAACACAUUGAUCUUAUUCCUAAUUACUACAAUGACAAGUAUGACCACAUCCUACUAAUAUAUACCCUAACACCACAUACACAUGUAACCAUCAUCAUCUUGGAAGCAUCUCUGUCACAAUAUCUGUACCACUAAAGUGAGUUGAAUUUGCUUCAUGCGGAUUUUCGGUUCUUUUGUACUUGAUUGCUUGAGAAGAUGAUGUCUCAUUCAAAGAACCACACUUCUUUCCAGUGCUGUGCCAUCUGUAAAUUCCAGGCUCAGUCAAUGCCUUCUCAUUGAGAUGAACUUCCUUGGAAAGCAUUUCCAAUACUUGCUUCAUGCUUGGUCUAUGUUGAGCUGCUGAUUGGGUGCAAAAUAGAGCCACUAUAAGGAACCGGUACACCACACUCUCAUCAUAUUCACUUAGUUCUGAAUCAACAAGGUCCAGAAGCCUAUUUUCUCCUUUCAGCUUCCAAGCCUGCACGCAUGAAUGAUGAGUUAGGAGAAACAAUAUACUGCUGCUCUUUUUUUUUUUAUGAUCAACAAAAAUAUAAAAGGAUGCAUUAAAUUUUGUUUUUUGUUUUUUGUUUUUUGUUUUUGUGUGCUUUGUGCUUUUCAAUUCAAUCCCUUGAAGAGAUUAGAUUGAAUGAUUUUUAGUCAAGGAGAGAGGGAGGGAGACCAAGAACUGAAGAAAGAUAGGAAGUUAUUAAAGAGGGAGCUCAUGGUAAUUGGUAACUAAUAUCUUUGAAAAUCUGGUCAUUAAUUGAGCUGAAUGAUGUUGUGUGAUCCAUGUAACUAAUCUCACCUAGUGGGGAAAGGCUUUUGUAGUUGUUGUUGUUGUUGUUGUUGUAUUGUUUUGUUUUGUUGUGUUGUGCGUUUUGUUUUUUGGCCACUAUGUCCACUAUUCGGAAACACACCAUUGUCUAAACAUAGUAGCAGCUCAUGGCUGCUCCACACUGCUAUAGUGCUCUAUUGAUAACUAUGCUGUUAGGCUGAAAAUUCUAUCUUGUGUUCUAGAUUGUAGGUUAGUUAGUAACCAAUGAGCUGAGUGUGUGAACUGCUAUAUCGUAACUAGCCAGAAGAGGCCAAAACUCAGAAUACUUGCUAAUGAGUAGUGAGUUGCGAGAAUCUCACCUCUUAUGCGGAACUGAAUGCAAGUUCCACCCUGGGCCAAACCAGUAUAAAACCAGCUGUGCAAGCUCCUUCGCUUUCUAUCCUCUUUAUUUUAAUUGAUAUGCUAAGCUUUGGAUUUUCUGGGUUUUUCAGUUACCUGUCUACUAAAAGUUUUAUCAGCACUCUAUACUCUGUCAAGUUUCAAUUUGAAGUUUCUGUUCAAGAAAACAUUUUGAAGGGCUAGAUUAAACCCCCUUCUCAAGCAUCCUACAUGUAUUUAUGACUUUAUUUAUCUUUGUGUGUUCCUAUGUCUCUUGCAAUUAAAGAAGCUAAGAGAAGAUCCUAGCAUGUAUUGUAUCAAAUCAAUAUUAAACAUACUCAAGAAUUAAGAAAUAUACCCAUUCCACCAAAACCAAAUAAUCCUCUUCAAAUGCAGCUAUGCUACUACUUUUCCCACUGAUUAUUUCAAGCAUGAGAAUCCCAAAACUGUACACAUCUGCCUUCUUUGUAAGUUGUCCCAGAAGUGCAUAUUCUGGUGCAAGAUAUCCCCUGCAACAGAAGAGGUAAACUGGGCUUAUAAAUUAUGUCCAAGUCUCAUACAAAGAAUUAUCAAUGUACCUAUACUGAUAAGAUGUGAGAUAAGGAUCUUAUGUCUUUGGUCUGCACUAGUCCACUCUCCACAUUACAAAGAUGCUAAUUUAACCCAAAAAACAUAGGAGAUUACAAGCAAUUACUUCUAGUUUUCUUUUUGACAGCACAGUUUAGUUUUAGUCUAAAACUUCUUUCCCCUCUCCGUUCUUUUGAUAUCCUACCUUUGAUCAAACAUUACAUCUUAGCAGCACACAUUAUUAUUGCUAAAAAAAUUAUAGAAAUUACUUGACUUUUUCUGUAAUGUUUCAAAAUUUAAAUGUAUUAAUGUAACAAUUAAAUAUUUACUAACAAUAAAAAAUAGAGAUACUAGCAGAGCAUGUCAAGAUGUUUAAACUACUAUAAGCUCAAGUGGUUUGAAGCAUAUUACUAUGUUAGGCAAGACUAAAGUCUAAAGUGAUUUAAUUCUGGCACAUGAACGCGAAACAGAAGCGCUUAAUUGAUAGGACACUGAUUGAUAAACUAAUAAAAUAUAAUUCUGAAUACACAAAUCACAUACAAUACAGUAAUAGAAUUCUUGUCCCAAACAAAAGUCACCUAUAGAGAAUAUUCUGUUUUCAGAAACUGCAAAUAAUAAUAUACUUAUUUUCACACUACACCCUUCUACACACAUAUUUAAUAGUAUAACUGCUCCUAACAUUCUACCCAAAACUGUCAACAUGACAGUUAUUAUUCACACAUACUAUGAAAAUACACAAUACACAAUUACUUAUAACUCCUCUACCCACAACUGCCAACGCGACAAUUUUUAUCUUCAUCAUUGAAAUUCAUUUUGACAAUAACUGUCUUAACUGCUUCUAACACUCGGUUCCCAUCAUUACCUCCUGCUGAAAAAAUCAGCCCUGUCCUCAAAGUAUGACUGGUUUUAUUUGAUGCAGUCACAGAUAGGAACUCCCAUUCCUGCAAACUUGUGCCACCCUUUGGAAACCUUGUAGAACAUCCCUGGCACCAAGUUUUGGACUACCAUGAAUUCUGUCCAACUGAAGGACACCAUUUUUGCUUCUAAAUUUCAUGCUAAUUGCAUGACUUCCAAUGAGUCUUCAGUUUAAAGGUGUCAAUUCUGUGUUUUCCUCGGGUAGUUUUCUUGCUUGAAAAGACGGAAAUUCAAAGGCUUCUAUGUACUCCUCUACACUUCCUAUUUGCUUUAAUUCAAACCAAAUCUUCACAUGGAUUUUCAACUUUUCUUCCAUCAAACCGGGGCUCUUUUAAAUAUUGCCCAAGUAAUAGGGGCUUCAGUUUCUCUCAGUAGAUUGAACCAUUGUAUGGUUGGGCCCUCCAUACUCAACUUGGCCAAGUUAAUGUUGACAUUGUCACUUCUAUUCUGCAGAACUGCCAUCUCUUUGAAACUCUUGAAUUCUUUCUCUGUCCAUUUAUCCAAUACCUUCUUCAUUUCAUUUAGAAGACUCUGUCAACUUGUCUUCCAACCUUUCUAUCUUGUCCUCCAUGCACCCCAAACUGUCAUCCACACUUGACAGAACUCUGCUCAGAAUUCUGGCUUUCAUGGAGUUUCUCUUCCAAUAGAUCCAUCCUUUCCCUCACCUAGUCAUGGUCGAUUGAUAUAACUCCAAUUUAUAAACUAAUAAAAUAUAAUUCUAAACACAGAAAUGACAUACAAUACAAUUGCCCUCCAAGAGACAAAAGUCUCCUAUAAAGAAUAUUCCCUGAUCACAAACUGCCAAAUAAGUUAUUUUCACACUACACCCUACUACACAUAAAUUUAAUAAUAUAACUGCUCCUAACUUUCCACCAAAAAUUGGUAACAUGACAGUUACCAUUACACAUACUCAGAUGAUACACCAUUGCUUCUAACUCUUCUACCCAUAAACUGUCAACAUGACUGUUAUUAUCUUCAUCAUUGAAAUCCAUCUUUAGACAAUAACUGUCAUAACUACUAACUCUCGGUUCAAAUUGUUAAUCAAGCAGUUCAUUGGUAUAAAUGUUGUCUACAAAGAUUCAUAAGAAACUACAAAAGUUAAGAACACUGAUAGUUUGUUCCUUCAAAAAUAUAUGUAUUUGAUAAUUUGUUCCUUUGAGAUGAAUCAUGGAGUUUAAAUGAGUAUUUGAAAAAGUUACAGAAAAACUAGACUAACUUUCAAGCAAUGAUCAAAAGGAAAGAUUCUGGCACCAGUUAGACAAAUAGAAAUAUUAAUAGAUACAUUUGUGCUUACACAGUUCCUGCAACUCGAGUACUAACAUGGGUGACAUUGUCAGGAAAAAGUUUUGCCAGACCAAAGUCCCCAAUUUUCGGAUUAAAGCUCCCAUCCAGCAAUAUGUUGCUGGCCUUGAUAUCCCUGUGAACAAUGUUUGGUUGAGCCUCUUCAUGAAGAAAACUUAGACCAGAAGCCGUGCCACGACAAAUAGCAGCCCUCUUUGGCCAAUCCAGAGCAACAUAUUUACCUUUUGAACCUGUAAAAUAUUCUCACAGCAUUAGAAUAAACCAAUGCAUAAAUAACCCUUCAAUUCAUUGAUUUACACAGUAGCAUAUGCAUAUCAAACCCUUGACUCCCACAACCCAACCAAACAGAGGAGUCACACUAAAAAUCUCCAAAACUCUGUGCUCCCUCCCCAAAAUCUUUAGUGUAUGGCACGCUCCAAUAUUUAAGAGCAACCCAGAUCAAUGAAACUGGCAAAGUGAGUCUUAUAUAAAGAUAAACUGGUUUCAGAAAAUGGAAAAGUUGAACAGCCAACUACUUAGAUAACACUCAAAUUCUAAUACAUAUUUAAAUUGUUCUGGUAUUUACCAAGCAAAGAGCUUGCAAGGCUAUUGUUCUCCAAAAAUUCAUAAACCAAUAUUCGGUGACCGCCCUCAACACAGCAGCCAAUCAGUUCCACAAGAUUUGGAUGUCGUAUAUUUGAUAUCAUAUCAAUUUCUGUCAUAAAUUCAUGGGUUCCCUGUUUAGACUCUACAGAAAGAGACUUGAUAGCAGCCUGAGUACCAUCCCUUAAAACUCCCUGCAAAGAUUAAUGACAAUCAGAAAAUAAAUGUACUGAAAUCCAUCUACAGAUUGUAACCAUAAAUAAAAGGAAAAAAAAAAACUGAUGAUCAUGACUCUCACCUUGUAGACAACUCCAUAACCUCCUCCACCGAUUUUACUUGAAGGAUGAAAAUCUCGAGUUGCUGAUCUCAAUGAGUUAUAGCUAAACUUUUUAGUUGCAACCACUGUCAGGAAAACAUAUAAAGCUUACAUAAAUAAAUCACAGGAUGCAAAAUUUCAUAAAAAGACAAUACAAAAAAGAGAGUCAAGAAAGCAAUUUUAGGAAGAUAAUGUCCAAGUGAAGAUGUCUCAGUAGAUCUAGACAAGUUUCAACUGAAACAGAGAUUCAUGCAUAUUUUGCUUAUAUGAUUUGCAAUAAUUUCCACCAUACGGGAGGGAUUCAAUAUAAGUACAUAACCAAAAAAUAAUGUAACCAAACAAUGGCCAACCACCCUUGCCAGCCAUCUUCAGUAGUAAAAUUUCAAUAUUAAUCAUUUAAAAUAGGAUAUCAGGAUUUAAAUGCAUCCCAUUAAGUUGGGACUUGGGAGUAGUAAGGUGGUUCAAGAGAGAUAAAUGAUAAUUCAACCGGUUGACCUCAGGUUUGACCCGCAAUUAACUAUUUCCAGCAACAGAUAAAUGAUAAACUUCAAAUCUAUCUAUUAAGUGUAACCAUGACUGCCCUUUUGACCAUAUGAGUGUGAGAAUUAAAAACAAAAGAACUGUACCUAUAAUUAUGCUACCAUAAGAAGCAAUAUUAAAAUAAUUUAAAACCUCAUUAACCAGGAUUAAGCUUUUUUUCUUUCCAGGGGAAAUCAAUCAAAUUAUCCAAGUUAGUACAUCAAAAUCAAUUUUGAUUUUUGACAGCCUAAAGUUAGUUGCCAGCAACAUCCAAUCCUCCAUUCCAGCCACAGUUCACUGAAGAACCUACAACAAUUUUAUACAAAAUUGUCUGUAUGUUCCCACCUGUGGGAUUUAAUAAACAGAACAAAAAAAUUCCAGAAAAUGCAGUCUAUUCAUUAAGCAAUCAUCCCUUUAUUUCCACCAAUAAUUAGGCAAUUCCAACCUUUGUAACAACACUUAUCUAGCUAGCAUUUCAGAAGGAAAAAUAUAGGAAGGUACAAUAGAGAAAGAAGGAUGAACUAACAGGAAUAAAUCAUGACAAUCACAAAUUCAACAACCUAUUCAAUUAGACACAAACAAUUGGUCCAUGAUGCAAUUUAAAGCCAUGUUCUUUUUUAAUACCUUGUUCAUGAGGCUGCUCUUCAGGAUCAUCCCUCCUUCCACACCAAUUCAAAGCACCAAACCAAUUGCAAAACAUGACUAUGGCCCCAGCUCCAGUCUCCUACACCCCCAUUAAACCUUGUAACAACAUUUGUCCCUCAAAUUUAUCACAUGCACCAACUACCAACCAGGAUGAAAACAAGACACUCAAUCCAACUACCUUGGAAAAGAAUGAAGCAAGUUGGAAACUUGAAUACACUGCAGGGGUAAAAGAAUUCACAGCAUGGUUUGAAAUUUGAAUCACUGUUAUAACCAAAAUCCUAGCCUGAGUUUUCAACCUGAUGGGGGUUUAAAAACGUUGAAAAACUGUGGUUUUAACUCUUAUACAGAGAAAAGUAACCAAAGCUUCGAUAGUUUAUGUGAGGUAGCUGUGUUGCAGGGUUGGCAGGAACGUGUGAAUCCAUAAAUGGUUAGGAAAUGGAAAGAUGAAACGACGGGUCAAGAAAGCUAUCAACAGAAAGGAAAGACAGCAAAGAUCUAACAAAGUCGGGGUUAAACUAUGAAAGGGACAAGUAUCUGCCCUUUGUUUUGUUUUGUUUUUUUUACUUUUAUUUUCUCUGUUCCCUACUUAUCUUUGCUUGACAAAAUAAAUAAUAAUAGAUUAUAAUUUAUAUUUAUAAUAAUAUAAGACAGGAGAGUGAUGCUGUGAAGAGAUAGCCCGCC
rnacentral:lncRNA from 1 species